CAACGCGAAGAACCUUACCAGGCCUUGACAUGCAGAGAACUUUCCAGAGAUGGAUUGGUGCCUUCGGGAACUCUGACACAGGUGCUGCAUGGCUGUCGUCAGCUCGUGUCGUGAGAUGUUGGGUUAAGUCCCGCAACGAGCGCAACCCUUGCCUUUAGUUGCCAGCAGUUCGGCUGGGCACUCUAAAGGGACUGCCGGUGUUAAACCGGAGGAAGGUGGGGAUGACGUCAAGUCCUCAUGGCCUUUAUGACCAGGGCUACACACGUACUACAAUGGCCGAUACAAAGGGCAGCGACACUGCGAGGUGAAGCCAAUCCCGUAAAAUCGGUCUCAGUCCGGAUUGGAGUCUGCAACUCGACUCCAUGAAGUUGGAAUCGCUAGUAAUCGUGGAUCAGCAUGCCACGGUGAAUGCGUUCCCGGGUCUU
rnacentral:rRNA from 1 species